UAGGUAGGUGGUCCCGUUUGUCAGGGGUGAAAGCCUUGGGCUUAACUCAAGAAGUGCCCCUGAAACGGCGGGACUCGAGUCCUGGAGAGGGUCGUGGAAUUCCCGGUGUAGCGGUGAAAUGCGUAGAGAUCGGGAGGAACACCAGAGGCGAAGGCGGCGACCUGGACAGGCACUGACACUCAACUACGAAAGCGUGGGGAGCAAACAGGAUUAGAUACCCUGGUAGUCCACGCCGUAAACGAUCGGUACUAGGCUUCGUGGGUCUUGACCCCUACGGAGCCGGAGCUAACGCGAUAAGUACCGCGCCUGGGAAGUACGGUCGCAAGACUAAA
rnacentral:rRNA from 1 species